rnacentral:rRNA from 1 species
GGGUUGUGAGGUUAAGCGACUAAGCGUACACGGUGGAUGCCCUGGCAGUCAGAGGCGAUGAAGGGCGUACUAAUCUGCGAUAAGCGCCGGUAAGGUGAUAUGAACCGUUAUAACCGGCGAUACCCGAAUGGGGAAACCCAGUGUGAUUCGUCACACUAUCAUUAACUGAAUCCAUAGGUUAAUGAGGCGAACCGGGGGAACUGAAACAUCUAAGUACCCCGAGGAAAAGAAAUCAACCGAGAUUCCCCCAGUAGCGGCGAGCGAACGGGGAGGAGCCCAGAGCCUGAAUCAGCAUGUGUGUUAGUGGAAGCGUCUGGAAAGGCGCGCGAUACAGGGUGACAGCCCCGUACACAAAAGCGCAUGUGCUGUGAGCUCGAUGAGUAGGGCGGGACACGUGGUAUCCUGUCUGAAUAUGGGGGGACCAUCCUCCAAGGCUAAAUACUCCUGACUGACCGAUAGUGAACCAGUACCGUGAGGGAAAGGCGAAAAGAACCCCGGCGAGGGGAGUGAAAAAGAACCUGAAACCGUGUACGUACAAGCAGUGGGAGCACCCUUUGGGUGUGACUGCGUACCUUUUGUAUAAUGGGUCAGCGACUUAUAUUCUGUAGCAAGGUUAACCGAAUAGGGGAGCCGGAGGGAAACCGAGUCUUAACCGGGCGUUAAGUUGCAGGGUAUAGACCCGAAACCCGGUGAUCUAGCCAUGGGCAGGUUGAAGGUUGGGUAACACUAACUGGAGGACCGAACCGACUAAUGUUGAAAAAUUAGCGGAUGACCUGUGGCUGGGGGUGAAAGGCCAAUCAAACCGGGAGAUAGCUGGUUCUCCCCGAAAGCUAUUUAGGUAGCGCCUCGUGAAUUCAUCUCCGGGGGUAGAGCACUGUUUCGGCUAGGGGGCCAUCCCGGCUUACCAACCCGAUGCAAACUGCGAAUACCGGAGAAUGUUAUCACGGGAGACACACGGCGGGUGCUAACGUCCGUCGUGAAGAGGGAAACAACCCAGACCGCCAGCUAAGGUCCCAAAGUCAUGGUUAAGUGGGAAACGAUGUGGGAAGGCCCAGACAGCCAGGAUGUUGGCUUAGAAGCAGCCAUCAUUUAAAGAAAGCGUAAUAGCUCACUGGUCGAGUCGGCCUGCGCGGAAGAUGUAACGGGGCUAAACCAUGCACCGAAGCUGCGGCAGCGACACUGUGUGUUGUUGGGUAGGGGAGCGUUCUGUAAGCCUGUGAAGGUGUGUCGUGAGGCAUGCUGGAGGUAUCAGAAGUGCGAAUGCUGACAUAAGUAACGAUAAAGCGGGUGAAAAGCCCGCUCGCCGGAAGACCAAGGGUUCCUGUCCAACGUUAAUCGGGGCAGGGUGAGUCGACCCCUAAGGCGAGGCCGAAAGGCGUAGUCGAUGGGAAACGGGUUAAUAUUCCCGUACUUGGUGUUACUGCGAAGGGGGGACGGAGAAGGCUAUGUUGGCCGGGCGACGGUUGUCCCGGUUUAAGCGUGUAGGUGUGUGUUCCAGGUAAAUCCGGUUCACUUUAACACUGAGGCGUGACGACGAGGCACUACGGUGCUGAAGCAACAAAUGCCCUGCUUCCAGGAAAAGCCUCUAAGCAUCAGGUAACAUCAAAUCGUACCCCAAACCGACACAGGUGGUCAGGUAGAGAAUACCAAGGCGCUUGAGAGAACUCGGGUGAAGGAACUAGGCAAAAUGGUGCCGUAACUUCGGGAGAAGGCACGCUGACACGUAGGUGAAGUGAUUUACUCAUGGAGCUGAAGUCAGUCGAAGAUACCAGCUGGCUGCAACUGUUUAUUAAAAACACAGCACUGUGCAAACACGAAAGUGGACGUAUACGGUGUGACGCCUGCCCGGUGCCGGAAGGUUAAUUGAUGGGGUCAGCGCAAGCGAAGCUCCUGAUCGAAGCCCCGGUAAACGGCGGCCGUAACUAUAACGGUCCUAAGGUAGCGAAAUUCCUUGUCGGGUAAGUUCCGACCUGCACGAAUGGCGUAAUGAUGGCCAGGCUGUCUCCACCCGAGACUCAGUGAAAUUGAACUCGCUGUGAAGAUGCAGUGUACCCGCGGCAAGACGGAAAGACCCCGUGAACCUUUACUAUAGCUUGACACUGAACAUUGAGCCUUGAUGUGUAGGAUAGGUGGGAGGCUUUGAAGUGUGGACGCCAGUCUGCAUGGAGCCGACCUUGAAAUACCACCCUUUAAUGUUUGAUGUUCUAACGUGGACCCGUUACCCGGGUUGCGGACAGUGUCUGGUGGGUAGUUUGACUGGGGCGGUCUCCUCCUAAAGAGUAACGGAGGAGCACGAAGGUUGGCUAAUCCUGGUCGGACAUCAGGAGGUUAGUGCAAUGGCAUAAGCCAGCUUGACUGCGAGCGUGACGGCGCGAGCAGGUGCGAAAGCAGGUCAUAGUGAUCCGGUGGUUCUGAAUGGAAGGGCCAUCGCUCAACGGAUAAAAGGUACUCCGGGGAUAACAGGCUGAUACCGCCCAAGAGUUCAUAUCGACGGCGGUGUUUGGCACCUCGAUGUCGGCUCAUCACAUCCUGGGGCUGAAGUAGGUCCCAAGGGUAUGGCUGUUCGCCAUUUAAAGUGGUACGCGAGCUGGGUUUAGAACGUCGUGAGACAGUUCGGUCCCUAUCUGCCGUGGGCGCUGGAGAACUGAGGGGGGCUGCUCCUAGUACGAGAGGACCGGAGUGGACGCAUCACUGGUGUUCGGGUUGUCAUGCCAAUGGCACUGCCCGGUAGCUAAAUGCGGAAGAGAUAAGUGCUGAAAGCAUCUAAGCACGAAACUUGCCCCGAGAUGAGUUCUCCCUGAGACUUAAAGUCUCCUGAAGGAACGUUGAAGACGACGACGUUGAUAGGCCGGGUGUGUA